GGGGCCGACUGGUUUUGACAGCAAGACGAAUCGGUUAUGUAAGCAAGCCUGGCGUUGAAGAAAAGCCAGUCAAAACGUUCUUCACACUUUUAAAUGGCGAAAAUAAUUACGCUCUCGCUGCGUAAUCUAGUCUAAGACUGAUUACCUUCAUCACACUCCAAAGAGGAGGUGACGAGAUGUCCCGGGAAAGAGUUCUUCCAACACUUUUUCCAGUCGGGGCACCAAUAAGUUUGGGAUAGAAAGUAGAAUGCCCGGUUUUGCUUUCGAAACUCAAUUCGGGAUAAGCUGUAGAUAGGUUGUUUGUCACCGGCCUACAGACGAAAAUUAAUGACAAACUAAGCUUGUAGAAGGCAUAGCUAUUCCUUGUUUGGACGAGGGUUCGAAUCCCUCCGGCUCCACUA
rnacentral:tmRNA from 1 species